rnacentral:rRNA from 1 species
UGGGGAAUAUUGGACAAUGGGCGAAAGCCUGAUCCAGCAAUGCCGCGUGUGUGAAGAAGGCCUUCGGGUUGUAAAGCACUUUCAGUGGGGAAGAAAAAUUUAAGGCUAAUAUCCUUAAAAUUGACGUUACCUACAGAAGAAGCACUGGCUAACUCUGUGCCAGCAGCCGCGGUAAUACAGAGAGUGCAAGCGUUAAUCGGAAUUACUGGGCGUAAAGCGCACGUAGGUGGAUGUUUAAGUCGAAUGUGAAAGCCCCGGGCUUAACCUGGGAAUUGCAUCCGAUACUGAAUAUCUAGAGUAUAGUAGAGGGAAGUGGAAUUUCCGGUGUAGCGGUGAAAUGCGUAGAUAUCGGAAGGAACACCAGUGGCGAAAGCGGCUUCCUGGACUAAUACUGACACUGAGGUGCGAAAGCGUGGGGAGCAAACAGGAUUAGAUACCCCGGUAGUCC